GAUGAACGCUGGCGGCGUGCCUAAUACAUGCCAGUCGAGCGAACAGACGAGGAGCUUGCUCCUCUGACGUUAGCGGCGGAUGGGUGAGUAACACGUGGAUAACCUACCUAUAAGACUGGGAUAACUUCGGGAAACCGGAGCUAAUACCGGAUAAUAUAUUGAACCGCAUGGUUCAAUAGUGAAAGACGGUUUUGCUGUCACUUAUAGAUGGAUCCGCGCCGCAUUAGCUAGUUGGUAAGGUAACGGCUUACCAAGGCGACGAUGCGUAGCCGACCUGAGAGGGUGAUCGGCCACACUGGAACUGAGACACGGUCCAGACUCCUACGGGAGGCAGCAGUAGGGAAUCUUCCGCAAUGGGCGAAAGCCUGACGGAGCAACGCCGCGUGAGUGAUGAAGGUCUUCGGAUCGUAAAACUCUGUUAUUAGGGAAGAACAAAUGUGUAAGUAACUAUGCACGUCUUGACGGUACCUAAUCAGAAAGCCACGGCUAACUACGUG
rnacentral:rRNA from 1 species